GAUGAACGCUGGCGGCGUGCCUAAUACAUGCAAGUCGAGCGAACGGACGAGAAGCUUGCUUCUCUGAUGUUAGCGGCGGACGGGUGAGUAACACGUGGAUAACCUACCUAUAAGACUGGGAUAACUUCGGGAAACCGGAGCUAAUACCGGAUGAUAUUUUGAACCGCAUAGUUCAAAAGUGAAAGACGGUCUUGCUGUCACUUAUAGAUGGAUCCGCGCUGCAUUAGCUAGUUGGUAAGGUAACGGCUUACCAAGGCAACGAUGCAUAGCCGACCUGAGAGGGUGAUCGGCCACACUGGAACUGAGACACGGUCCAGACUCCUACGGGAGGCAGCAGUAGGGAAUCUUCCGCAAAGGGCGAAAGCCUGACGGAGCAACGCCGCGUGAGUGAUGAAGGUCUUCGGAUCGUAAAACUCUGUUAUUAGGGAAGAACAUAUGUGUAAGUAACUGUGCACAUCUUGACGGUACCUAAUCAGAAAGCCACGGCUAACUACGUG
rnacentral:rRNA from 1 species